UACGUAGGGUGCGAGCGUUAAUCGGAAUUACUGGGCGUAAAGCGUGCGCAGGCGGUGAUGUAAGACAGGUGUGAAAUCCCCGGGCUUAACCUGGGAACUGCAUUUGUGACUGCAUCGCUGGAGUGCGGCAGAGGGGGAUGGAAUUCCGCGUGUAGCAGUGAAAUGCGUAGAUAUGCGGAGGAACACCGAUGGCGAAGGCAGGUCUCUGGGCUGACACUGACGCUCAUGCACGAAAGCGUGGGGAGCAAACAGG
rnacentral:rRNA from 1 species